AAUUGCAGAAUCCCGUGAACCAUCGAGUCUUUGAACGCAAGUUGCGCCCGAAGCCUUCGGGCCGAGGGCACGCCUGCCUGGGCGUCACGCAUCGCGUCGCCCCCUCCCCCCCUCCCACGGAGCGGCGGGGCCGGGGCGGAGACUGGCCUCCCGUGCGCUACCGUCGCGCGGCCGGCCUAAAUGCGAUCCCCCGGCGGCGCUUGUCGCGACCAGUGGUGGUUGAAUUCUCAACUCGCGUGCUGACAGUCGCGCCGAACGGCGUCGUCCGGACGGGCAUCACCUGUCGACCCAACCAGCGCCACGGCGCUUCCGACCGCGACCCCAGGUCAGGCGGGAUUACCCGCUGAGUUUA
rnacentral:rRNA from 1 species